rnacentral:rRNA from 1 species
AGUGAACGCUGGCGGUAGGCCUAACACAUGCAAGUCGAACGGCAGCACAGUAAGAGCUUGCUCUUACAGGUGGCGAGUGGCGGACGGGUGAGGAAUACAUCGGAAUCUACUUUUUCGUGGGGGAUAACGUAGGGAAACUUACGCUAAUACCGCAUAUGACCUACGGGUGAAAGCAGGGGAUCUUCGGAACUUGCGCGAUUGAAUGAGCCGAUGUCGGAUUAGCUAGUUGGCGGGGUAAAGGCCCACCAAGGCGACGAUCCGUAGCUGGUCUGAGAGGAUGAUCAGCCACCCUGGAACUGAGACAGGGUCCAGACUCCUACGGGAGGCAGCAGUGGGGAAUAUUGGACAAUGGGCGCAAGCCUGAUCCAGCCAUACCGCGUGGGUGAAGAAGGCCUUCGGGUUGUAAAGCCCUUUUGUUGGGAAAGAAAAGCAGCAGGUUAAUACCCCGCUGUUCUGACGGUACCCAAAGAAUAAGCACCAGCUAACUUCGUG